AUCCAGGCCUCGCCUGUUACCAAAAACAUCGCCUCUUGACUUCCAUAAGAGGUCCAGCCUGCCCAGUGAUACUAUUAAACGGCCGCGGUACCCUGACCGUGCGAAGGUAGCAUAAUAACUUGUUCUUUAAAUGGGGACUAGCAUGAACGGCAUCACGAGGGUCUCACUGUCUCCUUUUUCUAAUCAGUGAAACUGAUCUCCCCGUGAAGAAGCGGGGAUAAAAAUAUAAGACGAGAAGACCCCAUGGAGCUUUAAACCCAAUAGACACCUCUGACUAAUCUAACCCAAAACACUUCUUAAGUUCUGUCUAUUGGUUUUAGGUUGGGGUGACCACGGAGUACAAUAAAUCCUCCAUGACGUACGGGACUUCCCUCUUAUCCUUGAACCACAUUUCUAAGAAUCAACAAAUUGACGUUUGAUGAUCCAAUAUAUUGAUCAACGGACCAAGUUACCCUGGGGAUAACAGCGCAAUCCAUUUUAAGAGCCCCUAUCGCCAAAUGGGUUUACGACCUCGAUGUUGGAUCAGGGUAUCCUAGUGGUGCAGCCGCUACUAAUGGUUUGUUUGUUCAACAAUUAAACCCUA
rnacentral:rRNA from 1 species